rnacentral:tRNA from 1 species
AGUGUGGUGGCCGAGCGUUUAAGGCGUUGGACUUAAGUUCCAAUGGACAUUCGUCCUCGUGGGUUCAAAUCCCAUCUGCACUA